GUGCCAGCCGCCGCGGUAAUACGUAAGGAGCGAGCGUUAUCCGGAAUUAUUGGGCGUAAAGGGUGCGUAGACGGCAAUAAAAGUUUCUUGUUAAAAUGCUUGGCUCAACCAAGUAGUGCAAGGGAUACUGUAUAGCUAGAGUAUGGCAGAGGUAAGUGGAACUCCAUGUGUAGCGGUAAAAUGUGUAAAUAUAUGGAAGAACACCAGUGGCGAAACGGCUUACUAGGCCAAUACUGACGUUGAGGCACGAAAGCGUGGGGAGCAAACAGGAUUAGAUACCCUGGUAGUCCACGCCCUAAACGAUGAGUACUAAGUGUUGGAGCAAUUCAGCGCUGAAGUUAACGCAUUAAGUACUCCGCCUGAGUAGUACGUACGCAAGUAUGAAACUUAAAGGAAUUGACGGGAGCCCGCACAAGCGGUGGAGCAUGUUGUUUAAUUCGACGAUACGCGAAGAACCUUACCAGGUCUUGACAUCUUGGUGUUAGCUAUAGAGAUAUAGUGAGAUAGCCAAAGACAGGUGGUGCAUGGUUGUCGUCAGCUCGUGUCGUGAGAUGUUGGGUUAAGUCCCGCAACGAGCGCAACCCUUAUUGCUAGUUACCAUCAUUAAGUUGGGGACUCUAGCGAGACUGCCAGUGAUAAAUUGGAGGAAGGUGGGGAUGACGUCAAAUCAUCAUGCCCUUUAUGACCUGGGCUACAAACGUGCUACAAUGGCUGAAACAAAGAGAAGCGAAGCAGAGAUGUGGAGCGAACCUCAAAAAGCAGUCUCAGUUCGGAUUGAAGUCUGCAACUCGACUUCAUGAAGUUGGAAUCGCUAGUAAUCGCGAAUCAGAAUGUCGCGGUGAAUACGUUCUCGGGCUUUGUACACACCGCCCGU
rnacentral:rRNA from 1 species